rnacentral:tRNA from 1 species
UGGGGUGUAGCUCAGUGGUUGAGCACUUGCCUAACAUGUAUGAGACCCUGGGUUAAAUUCCCAGCACCACUA